rnacentral:rRNA from 1 species
AAUAUUUGACAAUUGGCGAAAGCCUGAUCCAGCCAUGCCGCGUGUGUGACGAAGGUCUUCGGAUUNUCAAGCACUUUAAGUUGGGANGAAUGGCAGUAAGUUAAUAGCUUGCUGUUUUGACGUUACCGACAGAAUAAGCACCGGCUAACUUCGUGCCAGCAGCCGCGGUAAUACGAAGGGUGCAAGAGUUAAUCGGAAUUACUGGGCGUAAAGCGCGGGUGGGUGGUUUGUUAAGUUGGGCAUGAAAGCCCCGGGCACAAUCUGGGAACUGCAUUCAAAACUGGCAAACUAGAGUAAGGCAGAGGGUGGUGGAAUUUCCUGUGUAGCGGUGAAAUGCGUAGAUAUAGGAAGGAACACCAGUGGCGAAGGCGACCACCUGGGCUAAUACUGACACUGAGGCACGAAAGCUAGGGGAGCAAAC